rnacentral:rRNA from 1 species
GCCACUACCCUGAACGUGCCCAAUCUUGUCUGAUCUCUGAAGCUAAGCAGGGUCGGGUCUGGUUAGUAGUUGGAUGGGAGCCCUUUCCUCAUUUCUAUGCUCAAGGGCC